CAAAUUAUAGCUUAUUUAAAGUAUUUUAGUUACAUUAAAAUGAAAAUUGUUAUAAUUUAAUUUGA
rnacentral:tRNA from 1 species